UACGUAGGGUCCGAGCGUUGUCCGGAGUUACUGGGCGUAAAGCGCGCGCAGGCGGCGCGGUAAGCAUGGCGUGAAAGCCCCCGGCUCAACCGGGGAGGGUCGUCGUGGACUGCCGCGCUUGAGGGCGGUAGGGGCUGGUGGAAUUCCCGGUGUAGUGGUGAAAUGCGUAGAGAUCGGGAGGAACACCCGUGGCGAAGGCGGCCAGCUGGGCCGUCCCUGACGCUGAGGCGCGAAGGCGUGGGGAGCGAACGGG
rnacentral:rRNA from 1 species